CACUCCGUAGCUCAAUGGAUAGAGCGUCGGCCUCCGAAGCCGAAAGUGCGAGUUCGAAUCUUGCCGGAGUGA
rnacentral:tRNA from 1 species